GUCCACGCCGUAAACGAUGGAUACUAGCUGUUGGGGGUAACUUCAGUGGCUAAGCGAAAGUGAUAAGUAUCCCACCUGGGGAGUACGUUCGCAAGAAUGAAAACUCAAAAGGAAUUGACGGGGGCCCGCACAAGCGGUGGAGCAUGUGGUUUAAUUCGAUGAUACGCGAGGAACCUUACCAAGGCUUAAAUGUAGAUUGACCGAUUUGGAAACAGAUCUUUCGCAAGACAAUUUACAAGGUGCUGCAUGGUUGUCGU
rnacentral:rRNA from 1 species